AGAUAGCAAGAACUGGCCCAAUAGAACUAGACGCACCAGGCACUCUAUCCUGUAACUGCACUUAAGGAUCUCUCAUUGAUCUGGAGCUGACGAAGUAAGGAAAUGGAAACAGCCUAAAUGUCCCUCAAGUGAUA